rnacentral:rRNA from 1 species
UACGUAGGGUGCGAGCGUUGUCCGGAAUUAUUGGGCGUAAAGAGCUUGUAGGUGGUUUGUCGCGUCUGCUGUGAAAAUCCGGGGCUCAACCCCGGACUUGCAGUGGGUACGGGCAGACUAGAGUGUGGUAGGGGAGACUGGAAUUCCUGGUGUAGCGGUGAAAUGCGCAGAUAUCAGGAGGAACACCGAUGGCGAAGGCAGGUCUCUGGGCCACUACUGACGCUGAGAAGCGAAAGCAUGGGGAGCGAACAGG